CAGAAGAUAAGAAAUGUCAGUAAGUAAAAUGAAAUUAAAUCACCUGUUUGUUGGAAGAAUGAUACAACUAAGGAAAGUACAGUUUUUUCAGCUUUUAGAUAAAACAAACGCGAUAUAUAUUGCUAAAUGCCUGCGAUGCGCUCUGAAGUGCGCGUUGAAUCGCAUCGAAUAUACAUAUAUAUGAUUCCAAUCACUUUUGAUACGCUUAAACACUUCAAAAAUUUUUAUUAGUUUCAAAUCUUAAAUUUUUUUGUAUCACGAACAAGUUCAAAAGUAUUCGACGACAUUAGAAACUUCACUCUUUACACCAGACUUGGAUCCUCAUAUUUUGGAUGUUUUCCUUCUGUUUGUUACUCUACGAGCAUGAAUAUCAUUUCCUAUGGUAAUAAUUCUAUUGUGUAAAAUGUACUUUAAGUUAUCAACAGAUCAUUGUUACACUGAUUUUUUGUACCAUAAGUUGCAAAUUACGAUU